UACGUAGGUGGCAAGCGUUAUCCGGAUUUACUGGGUGUAAAGGGCGCGUAGGUGGGUGCUUAAGUCAGGUGUGAAAACUCUGGGCUCAACCCCGGGACUGCUUUUGAAACUGUCAGGCUGGAGUGCAGGAGAGGAAAGCGGAAUUCCUAGUGUAGCGGUGAAAUGCGUAGAUAUUAGGAGGAACACCAGUGGCGAAGGCGGCUUUCUGGACUGAAACUGACACUGAGGCACGAAAGCGUGGGGAGCAA
rnacentral:rRNA from 1 species